rnacentral:rRNA from 1 species
UAAUUGAAGAGUUUGAUCAUGGCUCAGAUUGAACGCUGGCGGCAGGCCUAACACAUGCAAGUCGAGCGGCAGCACAGAGGAACUUGUUCCUUGGGUGGCGAGCGGCGGACGGGUGAGUAAUGCCUGGGAAAUUGCCCGGUAGAGGG